rnacentral:lncRNA from 1 species
GAGAUGGAAUAAUAUUAUUUCAAUGGUUUUGCAAUUGCUUUUCUCUCUAACUGGAGUAUCCCCCUCCUUUUUGCCUUACUGAUAUUUAUUUAUCUUUUAUCUUCUAGAUACAACUUGAAAAUGCCACCUUCCAUGUGGACUGCUCUGAACCCCACCCUGCUGCAGUUAAGAGAUACCAUCUCUGAACAUGCCUGACGUGCUCCCCAUGGGUUGACUCCCCACCUGUUCUGCCGGGAGGGGGGCAAUGCUGUCUUCUGUCUCAUACAGUGCCCUAAUCCAGGAAAGGGCUUUCUUAUUAUUCUUUGCAUCUUUAGUGCUGGGCCAGGGCCUGACAUAUAAUAGAUGCUCAGUGAAUAUUUGGGGAAUAAAUGAAUGGAUAUACAAGACAAAGUUCAGCAGGGGAGAUAAGAAUCAAAUAAACUAUCUGUCAGAGGAGGGAGAUCCAACUUUAUGGAGAUGGAGAUCUGUUUCUCAGGGUCAGCUUCCAACAUGACUCUAUCUGUAUGAGGCCCAGAGAUUCCAGGAGGCAGGUACCGCUGGGCUGUGUAGGCUGAAAAUCCCAGAUCAUGUUGGAUUUGUCCAGGAUACAGCCGCCAUCUGAUCCAGGCUCCCAAGCAGAGAUGGACUCAAGCUUCAGCGAGUGUCCAUCUCCCCUUCCCUGCAGCUGGGGUUUGUCUUGCCCUGCACCUCCUCACCCUCCAACACACACACACACACACAUACACAAACACACACACACACACACACACACACAUUCUCUGGCUGGUGAGACCCGCUUCAGGAGCACUGAGGAGGACAUGGGAUGGAGUGGACUUGUUACAAGCAAGGGCAAUAAACUGGGGGCCCACUGGGGAAGAUGUCUUAAUGGAGAGAGCAGAGAUGAAGAGAAAAUCCCUCAGCAGGUUGAGAGUGCCUUCUGCAGGCUCAGGGCACAAAGCGAGAACUCUUUGCACAGAAUUUCGAUCAUCCUUGCUACUUAA